UGUUCGUUCUCCUGGGAAAUGCAAGAGAAUUAAAGGACACUUGGACAAAGGUGGAAAAAAAAACAAGGUCGCCGGGAACAAGGAGAAGGGAAAGACAAUACGGAUGUGUUCUUUAUGCCACCAGUUGGGUACCCAUGAUAAGCGCACUUGUCAUGCAAAAUCUACAUUGUAGCAUGCUGAAAUUUGAAGCACACAAAUGCACUCCGUAUUCAGAAGCAGAUGCUGCGGCGGGAUAGCAGCUCUCUCGCAGUAUUCAAAAUAUGUAUAUACUAACUAGAACGUAUGUAUUAGUUAAUAUUUCUAGAAGACUAGAACUAUUCUGAAUGCAAGCAGAUGCCGCGACGGGAUAGCAGCUCUCUUGCAGUAUUCAAAAUAUGUAUAUACUAUCUAGAACGUAUGUAUUUGUUAAUAUUUCAAGAAGACUAGAACUAAUCCGAAUGCAA